GCCAAGAACACUACCAUAUAUG
rnacentral:miRNA from 1 species